ensembl:snRNA U6 U6 spliceosomal RNA
GUGCUCACUCUGGCAGGACAUACACUAAAACUGGAACAAUAUGGAGAAUAUUAGCAUGGCCCCUGUACAAGGAUAACACAAAAAUUAACGAAGUGUUCCAUAUUUUU